AGCCCCCUAAACAUGCAUCCGCGCCUGCGCAGCCGCGGGUCGCCCAGGGUUGGGAUGUUGGUGUCGGCUGGGGGCUGCUGUGAGGCGCUUGGUAGCACCCAGUCCUGAUACUCUCCAGUUACCCGAGAUCUUUGGGGGCUUGGAUGGAGGAACAGGAAAAGAGGAGCCAGGCUUUUUUGGAAAAUUGGCGGCAGCGGUGGCAUACGGGAAACUGAAAUCUUUAUCUAAUCUCAUCCUUUGUAUAUUCGUCUUGGAUUUGCUGAAGAAAAUUAAAAGGCCAGGCCUACCACUCCUAUGGCACAGUAUUGAUGAGAGACAUCAGUGGAGCUCCCCACCUCCACCCCAGGCUUGGAACUUAGGGAAUGACUGGUUUUUGUCAUUUCACACAACAGCUGAAGGAUUCUGUCCCCACCUCGUCCUCUGUGAAGUCUGCUGGACGUACCUGCCAGAAUCUUCUGAAGAUGACGUUUGCUGAACACUGACCCACAGGGGUUUGAUGGAUUAUUGACAAUGAGACAAGCUGUCUUUUCAUCAAUUAGAUAUUCCAGUUGUUUCAGGUCAAUUUCCCAAGAUUUCUCUGGCUGGAGAGAAAGAAAGGAUGAGACUAAGAUGAUUCUGAAACAUUUAGGGGGAAUCCUCACUUAUCUCAAGGGUCCAAUGUAAGCAAUAAAGUCUGUCUCUGG
rnacentral:lncRNA from 1 species